UACGAGGGGGGCAAGCGUUGUUCGGAAUUAUUGGGCGGAAAGGGUGCGUAGGCGGUUUGGUAAGUCUGAUGUGAAAUCUAUGGGCUCAACUCAUAGUCUGCAUCGGAAACUGCCGGGCUUGAGUGUGGGAGAGGUGAGUGGAAUUCCUGGUGUAGCGGUGAAAUGCGUAGAUAUCAGGAGGAACACCUGUGGCGAAAGCGGCUCACUGGACCAUAACUGACGCUGAUGCACGAAAGCGUGGGGAGCGAACAGG
rnacentral:rRNA from 1 species